UGAGAAGUAAAAGUCGUAACAAAGUCUCCGUAGGUGAACCUGCGGAGGGAUCAUUA
rnacentral:rRNA from 1 species